GUUUGAGUAGUUUAUAAGAAAAUAUUGAUUUGUGGGAUCAGUGAUGUAAAAGAUUACCUCAGAUU
rnacentral:tRNA from 1 species